CCUACGGGUGGCAGCAGUAGGGAAUAUUGCUCAAUGGGGGAAACCCUGAAGCAGCAACGCCGCGUGGAGGAUGAAGGUUUUCUGAUUGUAAACUCCUUUUUUUAGGGGAGUUAAUUACGGUAUGUAACGAAUAAGCACCGGCUAACUCCGUUCCAGCAGCCGCGGUAAUACGGAGGGUGCAAGCGUUACUCGGAAUCACUGGGCGUAAAGCGCGCGUAGGCGGGAUAGCAAGUCAGAUGUGAAAUCCUAUGGCUUAACCAUAGAACUGCAUUUGAAACUGGUAUUCUUGAGUAUGGGAGAGGUAGGUGGAAUUCUUGGUGUAGGGGUAAAAUCCGUAGAGAUCAAGAAGAAUACUCAUUGCGAAGGCGACCUGCUAGAACAUAACUGACGCUGAUGCGCGAAAGCGUGGGGAGCAAACAGGAUUAGAUACCCUAGUAGUC
rnacentral:rRNA from 1 species